AGUGCUACACCCAGGCACCCCUUAGGAUUGUUUUAAAAUAUGCCAUUGGAAUUUUGAGAGAUUGCACUGAUUCUCUUAAGUUGCUUUUAGUGUGAAUAUUUUAAUAUUCUUCCAAUCUGUAAACAUGGAGUAUCUUUCCAUUUAUUUGUCUUCGGUUUCCUUCGUUAAUCUCUGAGAGUUCUCAGCGUACAGGUCUUUCACAUCUUUACAUUUAUUUCUGGGUAUUUUGUUCUUUCUGAUGCCAUUGUAAAUGGGAUUGUUUUCUUAAUUUCUCUAGUUUCUUUAGUUUGUUGUGCGUGUACAGAAAUGCAAAAGAUUGCUGUAUACUGAUUUUGUGUCCUGUAACUUUACUGAAUUAGUUCCAACAUUUUUUGGUCUUUAGGGUUUUCUAUAUAUAAUGCCAUGUUAUCUGCAAAUACUGACAGCUUUACUUCAAGACUUACAGCCUUUUCUUUUUCUUGCCUAAUUGCUCUGGCUAGAACUUCUAAUACUGUGUUAAAUAACUUUUAAAAUCUGACAUAAAAAGCAAAGUGGCCCCAAUAAAGAAGUUUAAAUGUUGAACACUGAGUUCCUGGACCAACUCCCUUCUUUUUAUGGAGCCCCCUGUGGGUAAUGGAGGCAUCAGAAACAGUUCGAAGUUACUGCUGUGGAACAGACCUCAAAACUUAGAGGUUCAAACAGUAAUCAUUUCUCUCAUGGUUUCUAUGGAUUAGGGAUGUAGGAAAGGUUCUCCUUGGCAAUUCUGACUCAGGGUAUCUGAUGCAUUUGCAGUUAACAGUGGCUAGAGCCAGAGUAGCAGGAGGUUAGAACACUGGGGACUGGCCAGGCAUUUCUGCCUGUCAUUUCAGGGUCUGUGUGGGCUGGUUUGGGCUUCAUCACAGAAUGUGGCUUCAGGGUGUUAGUUUUAUGUGGUGACACAAGGACUACCAGCCUACACAGCUUGCAUAUUCCAACAAACCAGCUGUAAGCUGUGUUGCCUUUUAUGAUGGAGCUUUUGGAAGUCUCAUAGCCGUACUUUUGUCAUAUUAACCAGUCACACUUCUUGAUCUAGGGAAUAUCAGACUUUACUGAUCUUUUAAAACUGCCACAUCUACCCUCAAGAAGCCUUCUGGUGUGGGAGGCCAAGACUAGUCCAGAUAACACCACCAAGAGAAUACCAAAAGACCUAAUUACCAUAGGAGAGAUGGCAGAUUCUCCUUGCCAAUACCUACCCUUCUGAGCGGUAUUACAGGAGUUUACGAGUCUCCAACUUGGAAAUAUCAGAUUUUUUAAAAAAGUGACACUGGCAAUAAGAAUUUAGAAUUCUGGGACAUCUGGGUAGCUCAGUUGGUUAAGCGCGUGCCCUUGGCUCAGGUCAUGAUCCCAGGGUCCUGGAACUGAG